rnacentral:lncRNA from 1 species
CGUUCCCUCCCACUUCCCGCUUCUUCCUGGUCCUGACCUUUCCAACACUCCGAUUUCCUCUAACUUCCAUUCUACUUUCUGUUCCUGUGACUUUAAUGACUCCAGGUACGUCUUAGAAGUGGAAUCAAACAAUAUUUGCCCUUUUGGCCGGGCGCAGUGGCUCACGCCCGUAAUCCCAGAACUUUGGGAGGCUGAGGUGGGCAGAUCACAAGAGCACACCACUGCACUCCAGCCUGGGCAACAGAGUGAGACCCUGUCUCAAAAAAAAAAAAAUGCAAGGAAGCAAGUGGGUGUUCUGGGCAGUGAGGGGGCUGCUUGGCCGUGCACCAAUAAGAAAUAACUACUAGGGCCGGGCACGUGGCUCAGGCCUGUAAUGCCAGCACUUUGGGAGCCCGAGGCGGGUGGAUCACGAGGUCAAGAGAUCGAGACCAUCCUGGUCAACAUGGUGAAACCCCGUCUCUACUAAAAAUACAAAAAAUUAGCUGGGCAUGGUGGCGCGUGCCUGUAAUCCCAGCUACUCGGGAGGCUGAGGCAGGAGAAUUGCCUGAACCCAGGAGGCGGAGGUUGCGGUGAGCCGAGAUCGUGCCAUUGCACCCCAGCCUGGGUAACAAGAGCGAAACUCCGUCUCAAAAAAAAAAUAAAAAAGAAAUAGCUACUAGGUGACGCCAUGGGAGGAAGAAGGCCGAGGCCACUUCUAUGACUUCCCCUGGAACAGCGUGAAUAUGAGGGUCACAUGCAAAACGCAGAUGUGCCGGGCACGGUAGCUCACGCCUGUAAUCCCAGCACUUUGGGAGGCCAAGGCGUGCGGAUCACGAGGUCAGGAGAUCAAGACCAUCCUGGCCAAGAUGGUGAAACCUCAUCUGUACUAAAUACAAAAAAUUAGCCAGGUGUGGUGGCGGGCACCUGAAGUCCCAGCUAUUUGGUAAGCUGAGGUAGGAGAAUCACUUGAACCCAGGAGGCGGAGGUUGCAGUAAGCUGAGAUCACGCCACUGCACUCCAGCCUGGUGACAAAGUGAGACUCCAUCUCAAAAAAAAAAAAAAUUAGCCAGGUGUGGUAGUGUGUACCUGUAAUCCCAGCUGCUCUGGAGGCUGAGGCAGGAGAAUCGCUUGAACCCAAAAGCCAGAGGCUGCAGUGAGCCGAGAUGGUGCCACUGCACUCCAGCCUGGGCGACCGAGCAAGA